rnacentral:rRNA from 1 species
GGACUUGGCGGUGUCCCAUACCCAACUAGAGGAGCCUGUUCUAUAAGCGAUUAUCCACGAUCAACCUUACCACCCUUUGCCGUCCAGCCUAUAUACCGCCGUCUAAAG